rnacentral:rRNA from 1 species
GAUGAACGCUGGCGGCGUGCCUAAUACAUGCAAGUCGAGCGAACAGACGAGGAGCUUGCUCCUCUGACGUUAGCGGCGGACGGGUGAGUAACACGUGGAUAACCUACCUAUAAGACUGGGAUAACUUCGGGAAACCGGAGCUAAUACCGGAUAAUAUAUUGAACCGCAUGGUUCGAUAGUGAAAGACGGUUUUGCUGUCACUUAUAGAUGGAUCCGCGCCGCAUUAGCUAGUUGGUAAGGUAACGGCUUACCAAGGCAACGAUGCGUAGCCGACCUGAGAGGGUGAUCGGCCACACUGGAACUGAGACACGGUCCAGACUCCUACGGGAGGCAGCAGUAGGGAAUCUUCCGCAAUGGGCGAAAGCUUGACGGAGCAACGCCGCGUGAGUGAUAAAGGUCUUCGGAUCGUAAAACUCUGUUAUUAGGGAAGAACAAAUGUGUAAGUAACUAUGCACGUCUUGACGGUACCUAAUCAGAAAGCCACGGCUAACUACGUG